UUCCUCUCAGGAUCGUACCUGGAGAGUUUCCAGUCCUCCACCAGUCUCGACUAUGGGAGGGAGAGUCAAGCAGAGGCCUACCCAUUCCAUUCCGAGUUUGACCAGUGGCUAGUGAAUGGAAGGCGAUUGGCGACAAGU